rnacentral:rRNA from 1 species
CCUACGGGAGGCAGCAGUGGGGAAUAUUGCACAAUGGGGGAAACCCUGAUGCAGCGACGCCGCGGGAGUGAAGAAGUAUUUCGGUAUGUAAAGCUCUAUCAGCAGGAACGAGACAAGACGGUACCUGACUAAGAAGCCCCGGCUAACUACGUGCCAGCAGCCGCGGUAAUACGUAGGGGGCAAGCGUUAUCCGGAAUCACUGGGUGUAAGGGGAGCGUAGACGGCUGUGCAAGCCUGAAGUGAAAGGCGGGGGCCCAACCCCUGGACUGCUUUGGGAACUGUACGGCUGGAGUGCAGGAGAGGUAAGUGGAAUUCCUAGUGUAGCGGUGAAAUGCGUAGAUAUUAGGAGGAACACCAGUGGCGAAGGCGGCUUACUGGACUGUAACUGACGUUGAGGCUCGAAAGCGUGGGGAGCAAACAGGAUUAGAUACCCGGGUAGUC